rnacentral:rRNA from 1 species
AUACGGAGGAUGCGAGCGUUAUCCGGAUUUAUUGGGUUUAAAGGGUGCGUAGGCGGCCUUGUAAGUCAGCGGUGAAAUUUUGCAGCUUAACUGUAAAAGUGCCGUUGAUACUGUGAGGCUAGGAUUUGGUUGCUGUGGGUGGAAUGUGUGGUGUAGCGGUGAAAUGCUUAGAGAUCACACAGAAUAUCGAUUGCGAAGGCAGCUCACAAAGCCAAGAUUGACGCUGAGGCACGAAAGUGUGGGGACCAAACAGGAUUAGAUACCCUGGUAGUCCACACUGUAAACGAUGAUAACUCGCUGUCGGCGAUAUACAGUCGGUGGCCAAGCGAAAGCGAUAAGUUAUCCACCUGGGGAGUACGACCGCAAGGUUGAAACUCAAAUGAAUUGACGGGG